rnacentral:rRNA from 1 species
GUCGAACGCUGGCGGCGUGCCUAAUACAUGCAAGUCGAACGCAUUUUCUUUCACCGUAGCUUGCUACACCGAAAGAAAAUGAGUGGCGAACGGGUGAGUAACACGUGGGUAACCUGCCCAUCAGCGGGGGAUAACACUUGGAAACAGGUGCUAAUACCGCAUAAUUCCAUUUACCGCAUGGUAGAUGGAUGAAAGGCGCUUUUGCGUCACUGAUGGAUGGACCCGCGGUGCAUUAGCUAGUUGGUGGGGUAACGGCCUACCAAGGCUGCGAUGCAUAGCCGACCUGAGAGGGUGAUCGGCCACACUGGGACUGAGACACGGCCCAGACUCCUACGGGAGGCAGCAGUAGGGAAUCUUCGGCAAUGGACACAAGUCUGACCGAGCAACGCCGCGUGAGUGAAGAAGGUUUUCGGAUCGUAAAACUCUGUUGUUAGAGAAGAACAAGGAUGAGAGUGGAAAGUUCAUCCCUUGACGGUAUCUAACCAGAAAGCCACGGCUAACUACGUG